rnacentral:rRNA from 1 species
AACGAACGCUGGCGGCAUGCCUAACACAUGCAAGUCGAACGAGACCUUCGGGUCUAGUGGCGCACGGGUGCGUAACGCGUGGGAACCUGCCCUUAGGUUCGGAAUAACUCCCCGAAAGGGGUGCUAAUACCGGAUAAUGUCUUCGGACCAAAGAUUUAUCGCCUUUGGAUGGGCCCGCGUUGGAUUAGCUAGUUGGUAGGGUAAAAGCCUACCAAGGCGACGAUCCAUAGCUGGUCUGAGAGGAUGAUCAGCCACACUGGGACUGAGACACGGCCCAGACUCCUACGGGAGGCAGCAGUGGGGAAUAUUGGACAAUGGGCGAAAGCCUGAGCCAGCAAUGCCGCGGGAGUGAUGAAGGCCUUAGGGUUGUAAAGCUCUUUUACCCGGGAUGAUAAUGACAGUACCGGGAGAAUAAGCUCCGGCUAACUCCGUG